rnacentral:rRNA from 1 species
UACGAACUGUGCGAACGUUAUUCGGAAUCACUGGGCUUAAAGGGUGCGUAGGCGGUUUGUUAAGUCAGGUGUGAAAUCCCCCGGCUCAACCGGGGAACAGCGCUUGAAACUAGCAGACUUGAGUGAGGUAAGGGUGUGCGGAACUUCCAGUGGAGCGGUGAAAUGUGUAGAUAUUGGAAGGAACUCCGGUGGCGAAAGCGGCACACUGGGCCUUGUCUGACGCUGAGGCACGAAAGCUAGGGGAGUGAACGGG